UACGUAGGGUGCGAGCGUUAAUCGGAAUUACUGGGCGUAAAGCGUGCGCAGGCGGUUCGUUGUGUCGGCGGUGAAAGCCCCGGGCUCAACCUGGGAAUGGCCGUUGAAACUGGCGAACUGGAGUGUGGCAGAGGGGGGUGGAAUUCCGCGUGUAGCGGUGAAAUGCGUAGAGAUGCGGAGGAACACCGAUGGCGAAGGCAGCCCCCUGGGCUGACACUGACGCUCAGGCACGAAGGCGUGGGGAGCAAACAGG
rnacentral:rRNA from 1 species